ensembl:lncRNA
GGGAAAAGUUGCAUGACUGUGUCAAACUAGCCAGUUUUUGGGCUAUUCGGAAACUUUUCCUAUCAUCUUUUUCCUUUAAACAUCAAAGGAAGUUGUGGAGUGUAGGGAAGCUGUGAAAGGAAAGGGCUUUCAGAUGAAUGCUCAAGGACACUAAGAACUUAAGGCAGACAAGCGUCUGCAGAGGUCACAUGUCCAACAGGAAGUUGCAUCAUUUGAACUCCCUUGAAGAUCAUGGGAAGGAGAAGAAACAAUUUGCGUCAUUAUAGUCUCUUUAUUUUCAGCGGUAUUGUAAGUAACGGGAUUUGAAGUACCUGUAUAUCAGUGUUGCACUAAUAUAUAUAUAUCUAGAAAAUAAAUUAUUAAUGAAAAUAAUUAAUAAUUUUGUCCUUACGACAUUAGCAUGGAUGCUAGCUGUGUAUUUG